CUCAGGUUAUCAUGAAAUCAUUCUUUAUUAAAUUUAUAAGAUGUUUCGAUGGCUUCAUUGACCAACAUAUCGUUGUUUCGAUGGCUUCAUGUACCUAUUCAACAACGUGAUUUUCCAUCUUUUUCUUUGAAUCAAAAUAGUACACUACAUAGAAACAAGAAUAGUCAUUCCUUUGAUCUGUCACUAAGGCCAAGAUUGGAGCAGAGAGAGACGGGAAAAACCUCAAAGUAAUGUCGGACAACCUUCAAAUGAAGAAGAUGAUGGCAUGUGAGCAUGUGAGAUUAUGUAGAUCUUUUGGAGGCACUACGUUUUAUUUUAGAUUUAUCUAUUAUAUUCCAUAUUUAUUUAUAUCUUCAACAACAAAAUAUAAAUAAUUUAGAUCUGCA